AGGUGCGAUCAUACCAGCACUAAUGCACCAGAUUCUAUCAGAACUCUGCAGUUAAGUGUGUUUGGGCGAGAGUAGUACUAGGAUGAGUGACAUCCCUAGAAGUCCUUGUGUUGCACGUU
rfam:Cicer arietinum chromosome Ca3, whole genome shotgun sequence.